UAUUUCUUGUAGGUUUUGAAUCCUCGACUUGAGAAACAACUAUUUCAAUGAGAGCAUUCUAGCGUCCUUGAGUGAACUUUCAGCACUCAAGUGUUUAAAUCUAGCAGAAAAUUAGGUCACGGUAACAAAUUCUAUUGGUGGUAUAAAGAUGUUAUCAAAACUGAAGAAUUUGAAGACUCUGAAUUAGGAAACAACAUCCUAUCACAACUAGAUGGUUUUACCUCUUUAAAUCAUUGCGUUUACAGGGUUAUGGUCGAGACUUAAAGGAACCAUUGAUAUGUUAGAAGUUAGUAAUUUGAGAAACUUGGAGGAGUUGCAUGUAGGGGAGAAUGAAAUCGAGAGUCUCGGGUCUCGAUUUCAUGGUAACUCGUCUGACUUUAUUAAUAGCUCAUUGUGCACAAAAGGACUGUCGAAGUUGAACAAACUUGAGGUGCUUGGUUUAAGUGGUGAUCUCUUUAACACAACAUAUUUGCAUCCCUUGCUGCGUUUCUCAAAAUUGAAUUCUUUGCAUUUAAACGACAACAAAUUGAAGGGGUCGAUUCAUAUGAAAGGUAAAAAAUAACUUGUAC